GCUACUUCCAAACCAGUACUUAGCGAGUAGCUAGCAGUGGAACGUAUUUCUUCAGACUGGGUACUGGAGCGUGUCAACAAAGUUUGUAACGCUAACGCCAUUUGGUCCAUUCUAUGGUCCAUGGCCUCAAAUCUGGGGUCAGGAGGACUAGCACCUGCAGGAUCCAUCUGGCCCUGUCGUAAUGUCAGGAAACUGACAGGGAUCCAAUACGCAGAGUGCGCACAGCAGGAGG